GGCAAGACAAGUCACUCAUGUAAUAAGAAACGAAGAAGACGAGUGAGGCAUUCGUCCUAGUUUUGUUUGCUUUAACCAGCGGAACUUUAAAAUGGGUUAAAAAUCAUAGUUCCAAAAAAGGUAACAAUGGCGUCAAGAGUAUUGAAGCGAGCCGGCAUCUCUUCUGAGUUAUGCGAACAACUCAAACGACAUAAAAUAGAAAGCUGUAAGGAUUUGUUGUCGCACACUGCAUUUGAAGUAAUGUAUGCCGCAGGAUUGAGUUACCAGAAAACUCUAGAGAUGUUGGAGUCUGUGAGCAAGAUUAUUGCUCCCUCACUCACCACGGCCUUAGAGUUGUGGAAGCGUCACUCAGAUUCUUGCUUCUCAACAACAAUAGCUGCUCUGGACAAAGUGCUGCGUGGAGGUCUUCGCUGUGGAACCAUAACGGAGGUGACCGGACCAUCUGGAUGUGGGAAAACUCAGUUUUGUUUGAUGCUGAGUGUUGUGACCACUCUACCGAAGGAGCUGGGCGGGUUGGAUCGCAGCGUGAUCUACAUUGACACCGAAUCAGCGUUCUCUGCUGAGAGGUUGGUGGAGAUUGCACAGAACAGGUUUCCCGACUACUUCAACUCGAAGGAGAAAGUUCUGCAGAUGGCAGGUAGGGUCCAUAUCUUCAGGGAGAUGACCUGCCAAGAUGUCCUCUGCAGACUGGAGAGAUUGGAGGAGAUCAUCAUCUCAACCAGAACGGGCCUGAUUAUCCUUGACUCAGUUGCUUCAGUGGUGAGAAAGGAAUUUGACACAACGUUGCCCGGCAACCUGAUGCACCGCAGCAACCUGCUCGGACAAGAAGCUACCAUCCUCAGAUAUUUGGCCCAUCAAUUCAACAUCCCUGUGUUCUUAACCAACCAGAUUACGACUCAUACAGGGCAUCAAGAUUCGGGUUCAGCUGCUGUGGGCGAUUCGGGGAUCGUGACAGCAGCUUUGGGAAACACCUGGAGUCACAGUGUCAACACACGUUUGAUCGUCCAAUAUGUUGAUGGACUUAAGAGACAGCUAUUGGUCGCCAAGUCACCCGUGGCUCCCUUUGCUGUGCUGAACUACACAAUCAGAAAGGAAGGAAUCUGUAUGGAUGGUCAUCCAAGCAUCUUGUGGUCUCAGUGUGAACUGUAGUCCCAUGAGAUGAAAGCCUGUCAUACACCUGCGUGACAACAAGCGCCUCUCAGUGUCUGUUAGUCAUCUUGAGAUGUAGGUCACAGGCCGCGACCUGUCAUCUGACAGUUUUUAUGAAACGACGACGAGGAGAGAUUUUAUGAGGGCACUGAUCCGAGUCUCCAGGCUAUCGGGGUGAGAACUGCGACCAGCCUCGAUACAACCUAAAUAGAUGCGCCAAAAGUGCAGUGAAAGUCAUCACUAUUUUCAUCGUCAUUAUCACAGUUACUAUUGUGAAAUUAUGUACAAAUGGAAAAAAGCCGCCCAAAAAUACACAUUGGGUGCCAAUUUCUUUUAUCGUCCCAGUUAAAAAAAAAAAAUUGUAUUGCUGUUUUAUUUUUGGACCUAUUUUUGUUUUUAAAAAUUUUGGGGCCACGUCCAAAAUUGUUUGAUCGUUUAGUCAUUUGAUUUCCCUUCUGACCAAAUGAACUUAAAACUUGUUUAUGUGUAAAGUACACUGAGAGAAGGUGAUACUGUAUAUAAUAAAAACUGCAUCUUGUACUAACAGUGGCGUCACAGUGACGCCAGAGUUUAAGAUACCAGUUGUAACUUGCUGCAAGCAUUAUACAGUUUACGGACUUGGAACAUUUGUAUUUAUUUUUUUAAUAAAACCUCAAAAAGUGC